GUCUACGGCCAUACCACCCUGAACGCGCCCGAGCUCGUCUGAUCUCAGAAGCUAAGCAGGGUCGGGCCUGGUUAGUACUUGGAUGGGAGAAGUCCCUUCCAGAUGCCCCAGUGGAACAUUGGUAGUGUCC
rnacentral:rRNA from 1 species